rnacentral:rRNA from 1 species
UGCUUAACACAUGCAAGUCGAACGAAGGUAUCCUGAAUGAGAGCUUCGGCAGGAAUUCUAGAUAUUCUUAGUGGCGGACGGGUGAGUAACGUGUGGGCAACCUGCCCUAUACUGGGGAAUAAUCACUGGAAACGGUGACUAAUACCGCAUGUGGUUCUCCGAAGGCAUCUUUGGAGAAAGAAAGGAUUUAUUCGGUAUAGGAUGGGCCCGCAUCUGAUUAGCUAGUUGGUGAGAUAAUAGCCCACCAAGGCGACGAUCAGUAGCCGACCUGAGAGGGUGAUCGGCCACAUUGGGACUGAGACACGGCCCAAACUCCUACGGGAGGCAGCAGUGGGGAAUAUUGCACAAUGGGCGAAAGCCUGAUGCAGCAACGCCGCGUGAAGGAAGAAGGGUUUCGGCUCGUAAACUUCUAUCAAUAGGGACGAAACAAAUGACGGUACCUAAAUAAGAAGCCCCGGCUAACUACGUGCCAGCAGCCGCGGUAAUACGUAGGGGGCAAGCGUUAUCCGGAAUUACUGGGUGUAAAGGGUGAGUAGGCGGCAUGGUAAGCCAGAUGUGAAAGCCUUGGGCUUAACCCGAGGAUUGCAUUUGGAACUGUCAAGCUAGAGUACAGGAGAGGAAAGCGGAAUUCCUAGUGUAGCGGUGAAAUGCGUAGAUAUUAGGAAGAACACCAGUGGCGAAGGCGGCUUUCUGGACUGAAACUGACGCUGAGGCACGAAAGCGUGGGGAGCGAACAGGAUUAGAUCCCUGGUAGUCCACGCCGUAACGAUGACGCUAGUGUUGGGAGAAUCUCGUGCCCA